UGCUUCUAUGAUCGUUGUCAACAUUUCCACUUUCCUGUAAUAUAACGCUGUCUAACUCUUCCAGGGGAAAGUCUUCAUCGGCAAAUUCAUCGUCUGCCAUGUUGUCUUCUUGGCUAUUUUGAUCCAUCACAUCAGAGUGGAACAACUCAACGAGAUCAACACAGAAAUUUAUUUUUUCAUAAGCCAAAACGAAGAAGUGACUGUGACCUGGAGUAGCAGUAUACGGGUCGCUUUGGCCUCCCAGGGCCUCUGAGUGGUCUGUGUGACAGCGGAGACCUCGUCAUUGGUGCAGUCUGUACCCCUCCACUUCUGCAGCUGACCAUAUGCAGGCUGGCUGACAUCCAGCAAUGAGUCAACCUGAAGCAAAAGGAGACUAAUCAGCUUUGGUUCAAGUUGCCUUCACAAUUAUUUUGUGAUCAUCUAGUUGCUUUUUUUCACAUUGUACUUUUUGGUUUAGAGGCUAAGUUUAUUUUUUUGCCUGAGCUGUAAUGGAUGAAAAUUCAAUAAACCCUCCAUACCAGACUAUUAGGUAAAAAUAUGAAAUUAUAGUUUGUCUAAGGCUAUCAUUUUGAAUGCUUUAGAAAUUGUAGGGUUCUGAGAUUUUAAGCCAUUUUAAUGUAACCAAUGUAUUUAGGGUAUUAGUUUUCCACAAAUUUCCCUAAUUUGGCUCCAUCUUUGCUUGAGAAAUACAGCAAAGAUGGAGCUGAAAAGGUUGGAUCUGAGAUCUGUAUUUCUGUACACUUGAAUUGGUGUUUAAAUAAUUUCAGAACCAGAUGUACUGCAAACCAACAGAUAGUGCACUUCUUCUUUUUUUGUAACCAUCACAGAACUCAAUUAUAGCCAGAAGUGUAAGGUAUGAAGGCGUUUUCUUCUGGGGAUUCCAAAAUACUUUAAUCAAGUUUUUCAAAGAAAUAAUAAUAAAAAAAACUUCCAAGUA